rnacentral:rRNA from 1 species
AUUGAACGCUGGCGGCAGGCCUAACACAUGCAAGUCGAGCGCGCGGCGGACGGGUGAGUAAUGUCUGGGAAACUGCCUGUUGGAGGGGGGUAACUACUGGAGACGGUAGCUCAUACCGCAUACCAUCAGAUGUGCCCCGAGGGGAUUAGCUAGUAGGUGGGGUAACGGCUCACCUAGGCGACGAUCCCUAUCUGGUCUGAGAGGAUGACCAGCCACACUGGAACUGAGACACGGUCCAGACGCCUAAGGGAGGCAGCAGUGGGGAAUAUUGCACAAUGGGCGCAAGCCUGAUGCAGCCAUGCCGCGUGUGUGAAGAAGGCCUUCGGGUUGUAAAGCACUUUCAGCGGGGAGGCGUUACCCGCAGAAGAAGCACCGGCUAACUCCGUGCCAGCAGCCGCGGUAAUAC